rnacentral:rRNA from 1 species
GACGAACGCUGGCGGCGUGCUUAACACAUGCAAGUCGAACGGAAAGGCCCUGCUUUUGUGGGGUGCUCGAGUGGCGAACGGGUGAGUAACACGUGAGUAACCUGCCCUUGACUUUGGGAUAACUUCAGGAAACUGGGGCUAAUACCGGAUAGGAGCUCCUGCUGCAUGGUGGGGGUUGGAAAGUUUCGGCGGUUGGGGAUGGACUCGCGGCUUAUCAGCUUGUUGGUGGGGUAGUGGCUUACCAAGGCUUUGACGGGUAGCCGGCCUGAGCGGGUGACCGGCCACAUUGGGACUGAGAUACGGCCCAGACUCCUACGGGAGGAAGCAGUGGGGAAUAUUGCACUAUGGGCGGAAGCCUGAUGCAGCACCGCCGCGUGCGGGAUGACGGCAUUCGGGUUGUAAACCGCUUUCGCCUGUGACGAAGCGUGAGUGACGGUAAUGGGUAAAGAAGCACCGGCUAACUACGUG